UACAGGGGGGGCAAGCGUUGUUCGGAAUUACUGGGCGUAAAGAGCGUGUAGGCGGCCAGGUAGGUCAGCUGUGAAAACUCGAGGCUCAACCUCGAGACGUCGGUUGAAACCAUCUGGCUAGAGUCCGGAAGAGGAGAGUGGAAUUCCUGGUGUAGCGGUGAAAUGCGCAGAUAUCAGGAAGAACACCCGUGGCGAAGGCGGCUCUCUGGGACGGUACUGACGCUGAGACGCGAAAGCGUGGGGAGCGAACAGG
rnacentral:rRNA from 1 species